rnacentral:lncRNA from 1 species
AAGUAAGUUCUAUAAUAUCUAUAUAUCAUUAUUUUAAAAUUAAUUCACAUUCAGUUACACAAAUCUUUUGAAUUUGAAGGUAAAUUAAGACAUUAUGUUCUUCCUUUUUUUUCUUAUCUCAUUAGACAUUCUUCUUAGAUGCUUUUUCUCAGUCUGAUUUUUUUUCUGAGAACAAUGCAGCUUACUUGCCCCAGCACCUGCAGGAGAGGCCCUGCCGGGUGUCCCAGAGUUGUGAGCUAAUUCUCAUUCAGAUGCACUGAACCACAAAUGGCAUUUCCCCUAGGAGAACCCCAUGCAACCAGCAGAGAACCUCCUUGAAUAGAUAAGGGCAGUACACCCCAAAAAGGGAUUUAUAGAGGAGUAUCCCACUGACACCAACCACUUCCCAGUGUGGCCAGAUAAAACCCCACCAACCUGAGACCCUCACAUGGGCCAUACAGCCAUGUCAUCCUGACUAUAGUACCUCCACCUUACACCACUGCACCCUGCAUGCUCCAGAGUACAUAAGGUGGAACCCAUAUUGGAUCUGAGAGGGCUGGUCAAAGAGAUUUUCUUCAGGAGGAUUCACAAAACUGUGGAAAACUUCCUCCCCAGGGAAUCCUGGAGUAUUGAGGAGGCUCUUACUUAUCCCUAAUGGGGGUAACUGACAAAAUCUGACAAUUCAGGACGGUCUACUCUGACCCAUCAGAAAGCUAGUAAGUACCUCAACACAUGAAAGAUUAGAGGAGCCUCCUAGAGUUGUAUCUGAGGUGAGCUGGUCUGAUCACUACCUCCACACCAGGGAAAAAAUAGAGGCAAAGACAAGGAGUACUCGGCAUCUUUAAAACAUUCCAAACCCUGAUAGAGUCCAAAUCAGGAAGAUCCAAGAACACUCCCCACUUUGGCAUGGAAUAUCAUAAAUACUUCUAAUGUCAAUUUUUAUCUUACUGAUAUUGCAUUUCAUAUUGAAUGGGCAUGUUCUGUUUAUUUGGCAUUGCAGCCUUCACCUCAAUUGAUAGUAUUUCCUGUUUUAAAGCAUUAACUAGAAGCAUUAUAUCUUUGCUUUCCUAAUGUAUAUUUAUACUUGCUCCUCUUAAUUUCAUGUUUGCUUCUUGUAUUACCUACUCCUGCCUCAAAUAACCUCACAUUGAUUCACCUUUUUUACCUUAGUUUGUGUUAUUUUAUCUUUUCUUCUUUUCCAUUUUUUUCUCUUCUCCCCUUUGUAGCCCCUAUAGAAUAUAAUAGCAAUUUUACUAUCUUUAAGAACUACUUUCUCAACCUACUGAAGAACACUCAUAUGGACUGGAAAAAAAUAUUUGUCAGUGCCUCUCCAACAGAAGAGAUUAAUAUCCAUAGUGUAUUAAAAACUCAAAAAGCUUCACACCAAAAAGAUAAAGAAUGAAUAACCCAAACAAUAAAUGUGCA